UGAUUCAGAAGUCUAGGAUCCUGGGGU
rnacentral:piRNA from 1 species